GGCCCCAUCGUAUAGAGGCCUAGGACAUCGCCCUCUCACGGCGAAAACCGGGGUUCGAACCCCCGUGGGGUCA
rnacentral:tRNA from 1 species